CUCACGCAACACCGCAUUCGGGGAGCCGCUGGAGGAGUCUAGGAAGCUGGCGCUGCAGGAGGAGACAGCGGAGAUCUUCGGCGGCUAAGUGGAGCUGACGAUAUCAACGACGAGGAAGACAUCAGGCGACUAACAAGUUCGUCAAGUUCGCGACCACAUACUUCCAAGGCAACGCGUCGCACUCGUACGUGAAGCGUCUGCUGAAGGCGCCGCUGCUGCCGCUGCGUAACGACGGCGACAUCGCCGCGUCGCUCGUCAUCUGGAAGAUGAUCAUGCGCUUCAUGGGCGACCUCCCCGAGCCGAAGCGUGCGAGCUCGCUGGGCAGCGCCGACAACACGCCCGUCAUGACGAAGAUCUACUCGACGCUGACGCGCGGGAACCGUCGCGAGUUUCAGAACGCCAUCGACGAGUACGAAG